UACGGGGGGAGCAAGCGUUGUUCGGAUUUACUGGGCGUAAAGGGCGCGUAGGCGGCCUCCGCAAGUCAGUUGUGAAAUCUCCGAGCUUAACUCGGAAGGGUCAACUGAUACUGCGGGGCUAGAGUGCGGAAGGGGCAACUGGAAUUCUUGGUGUAGCGGUGAAAUGCGUAGAUAUCAAGAGGAACACCUGCGGCGAAGGCGGGUUGCUGGGCCGACACUGACGCUGAGGCGCGAAAGCCAGGGGAGCGAACGGG
rnacentral:rRNA from 1 species